rnacentral:rRNA from 1 species
AGGGUUUGACAUCCUGCGAAUCUCUUGGAAACAGGAGAGUGCCUUCGGGAACGCAGUGACAGGUGGUGCAUGGCUGUCGUCAGCUCGUGUCGUGAGAUGUUGGGUUAAGUCCCGCAACGAGCGCAACCCACGUCUUUAGUUGCCAGCAUUUAGUUGGGCACUCUAGAGAGACUGCCGGUGAUAAACCGGAGGAAGGUGUGGAUGACGUCAAGUCAUCAUGCCCCUUACAUCCUGGGCUACACACGUACUACAAUGCUACGGACAAAGGGCAGCAAGUUCGCGAGGACAAGCAAAUCCCAUAAACCGUGGCUCAGUUCAGAUCGUAGGCUGCAACUCGCCUACGUGAAGGCGGAAUCGCUAGUAAUCGCAGGUCAGCAUAC